AAGACAUGCAAGUCGAACGGGACCAAAUUAGUAGCAAUACCGGUUUGGUUCAGUGGCGCACGGGUGCGUAACACGUGAGCAAUCUGCCGGGAAGUGGGGGAUAGCUCGCCGAAAGGCGAAUUAAUACCGCAUGUGGCUAUCUUUUGAUUAAUGGAAAAGCCAAAGCAGCAAUGCGCUUCCUGAUGAGCUCGCGGCCUAUCAGCUGGAUGGCGGGGUAAAGGCCCACCAUGGCGAUGACGGGUAGCUGGUCUGAGAGGACGACCAGCCACACUGGAACUGAGAUACGGUCCAGACACCUACGGGUGGCAGCAGUCGAGAAUUUUUCACAAUGGGGGCAACCCUGAUGGAGCGACGCCGCGUGGAGGAUGAAGGCCUUCGGGUUGUAAACUCCUGUCAUGCGGGAACAAGAAAGUGAUAGUACCGCAAGAGGAAGAGACGGCUAACUCUGUGCCAGCAGCCGCGGUAAUACAGAGGUCUCAAGCGUUGUUCGGAUUCAUUGGGCGUAAAGGGUGCGCAGGUGGUGAUGCAAGUCUGGUGUGAAAUCUCGGAGCUUAACUCCGAAAUUGCACCGGAUACUGCGUUGCUCGAGGACUGUAGAGGAGAUCGGAAUUCACGGUGUAGCAGUGAAAUGCGUAGAUAUCGUGAGGAAGACCAGUUGCGA
rnacentral:rRNA from 1 species